rnacentral:rRNA from 2 species
CUGGCUAGACGACGCUGGCGGCGUGCCUAAUACAUGCAAGUCGAACGAACUCUGGUAUUGAUUGGUGCUUGCAUCAUGAUUUACAUUUGAGUGAGUGGCGAACUGGUGAGUAACACGUGGGAAACCUGCCCAGAAGCGGGGGAUAACACCUGGAAACAGAUGCUAAUACCGCAUAACAACUUGGACCGCAUGGUCCGAGUUUGAAAGAUGGCUUCGGCUAUCACUUUUGGAUGGUCCCGCGGCGUAUUAGCUAGAUGGUGGGGUAACGGCUCACCAUGGCAAUGAUACGUAGCCGACCUGAGAGGGUAAUCGGCCACAUUGGGACUGAGACACGGCCCAAACUCCUACGGGAGGCAGCAGUAGGGAAUCUUCCACAAUGGACGAAAGUCUGAUGGAGCAACGCCGCGUGAGUGAAGAAGGGUUUCGGCUCGUAAAACUCUGUUGUUAAAGAAGAACAUAUCUGAGAGUAACUGUUCAGGUAUUGACGGUAUUUAACCAGAAAGCCACGGCUAACUACGUGCCAGCAGCCGCGGUAAUACGUAGGUGGCAAGCGUUGUCCGGGAUUUAUUGGGCGUAAAGCGAGCGCAGGCGGUUUUUUAAGUCUGAUGUGAAAGCCUUCGGCUCAACCGAAGAAGUGCAUCGGAAACUGGGAAACUUGAGUGCAGAAGAGGACAGUGGAACUCCAUGUGUAGCGGUGAAAUGCGUAGAUAUAUGGAAGAACACCAGUGGCGAAGGCGGCUGUCUGGUCUGUAACUGACGCUGAGGCUCGAAAGUAUGGGUAGCAAACAGGAUUAGAUACCCUGGUAGUCCAUACCGUAAACGAUGAAUGCUAAGUGUUGGAGGGUUUCCGCCCUUCAGUGCUGCAGCUAACGCAUUAAGCAUUCCGCCUGGGGAGUACGGCCGCAAGGCUGAAACUCAAAGGAAUUGACGGGGGCCCGCACAAGCGGUGGAGCAUGUGGUUUAAUUCGAAGCUACGCGGAAGAACCUUACCAGGUCUUGACAUACUAUGCAAAUCUAAGAGAUUAGACGUUCCCUUCGGGGACAUGGAUACAGGUGGUGCAUGGUUGUCGUCAGCUCGUGUCGUGAGAUGUUGGGUUAAGUCCCGCAACGAGCGCAACCCUUAUUAUCAGUUGCCAGCAUUAAGUUGGGCACUCUGGUGAGACUGCCGGUGACAAACCGGAGGAAGGUGGGGAUGACGUCAAAUCAUCAUGCCCCUUAUGACCUGGGCUACACACGUGCUACAAUGGAUGGUACAACGAGUUGCGAACUCGCGAGAGUAAGCUAAUCUCUUAAAGCCAUUCUCAGUUCGGAUUGUAGGCUGCAACUCGCCUACAUGAAGUCGGAAUCGCUAGUAAUCGCGGAUCAGCAUGCCGCGGUGAAUACGUUCCCGGGCCUUGUACACACCGCCCGUCACACCAUGAGAGUUUGUAACACCCAAAGUCGGUGGGGUAACCUUUUAGGAACCAGCCGCCUAAGGUGGGACAGAUGAUUAGGGGAAGUCGA